UUCGAUCUAAAUCGAAGGGUCCAAACUCAACCCAAUUUACAUAUCACCUACACAAAACCCGUAGACAAGUUUUCCUCGUUCGCCGCCGCCACUCUCUCGUGGAUCCCAUCAAAUCCAUCCAUCCUCUCAGCAAACCACCUACUUCCUUGCUUUCAGCCGCGGGACAACCACCAGUGCCUCCACCUCGCUCCUGGACAUGUCCAACCGCCCCCAGCCUCAGUCGUCUGCGUGACCUCAUGAGCAGGAGCUCUCUCGCAGCCUUUCCGACCCGCAAGGAUUCGCCGGAGUCCGACGUCGCCGGCUCCCCACAGGCCGACCCCGACGCCCUUUCCCCUUGCUUCCUGAUUUCUUCACCUUUCGAUGCUCUCUCUCAUCUUUGUAUUUUUUUCUCUCUGUUCCAACAGCUUGGGCUGCCGCCAUGAAUGCCAUCUCAGGAGAGCCAUGGCGCCACUUAAAUCUCUAUAGCCGCCAUUGACACCCGAGAUCCACUGUUCCCGUAGCCCUGUAGUAGCCUCCGUAUGUGACCACGAGAGCCGCAGGUCCAGAUCCAUGUCCCACGCCCCAGCUUUCUCUCCGUUGCUCUCUCUUUUUUCCUCUGCUCAACUCUAUCCCCUCGUCUCUUCUACAGGUCUAGAGGAACAUCAAGUAUGGCCUCGCCGCUGACCAGCCAGAGCACUGGAUCUGCGCCACUCCACCGCCCCACAAACGGAUCCGGAGGAACCUCGCCACUGUACAUGCCCAGCCACGGUCAUGGAGAAGUUGUCUCCGUUAUUUUGUUGGUGUAGCUUUCAGAUUCGCGUUAGCAUAUUGUUUCAUGUUCAAACGUCCCCUUUGCAUCGCAAACUUAGGAUGUUUGGAUACGUUUUAGUUUCAUGAUUAAGAGGAUGCUUGAUAUGUUUUAAUACCAUGAUAAAAAGUAAUAAGACUAAAAAUUGCUAGCUUCGCCCAUGCUUGGAUUCAAGUACUAAAAAGACUAAAAUCAAAUUAAUGAGCAUUUAUUAUCCUCCAAACCCUCCAGUCUAGAACUUGCAUGAGAUGUUAAAUGAGGAGAGAGAGGACUAAUGCAUAUUUUAGUAGGGGUACCUCUGACUAAAAGAUUUUAGCCUCAAGACUAGUUUUAGCCUCUCUUUAGUCAGGGGUGCUUGGAACUUUAGCCUUUUAAAGAGACUAGUUUUACUCUUUUGGAUCCAAGCACCCUCUAAGAGUAAUGAGACUAAAACUUGCUAGCCUCACCCAUGCUUGGAUCCAAGUAUUAAAGAGACUAAAAUCAAGUUAAUAAGCAUUUAUUAUCCUUCAAACCCUCCAAUUCAGAACUUGUAUGAGGAGUUAAAUGAGCAGAGAGAGAACUAAUGUAUAUUUUAAUAGGGGUACCCCUAACUAAAAGAUUUUAGCCUCAAGACUAGUUUCAGCCUCUCUUUAAUCAGGGAUGUUUAGAACUUUAGCCUUUUAAAAAGACUAGUUUUAGUCAGACUAGUUUUAGUUUUUUGAUCCAAGCACCCUCUUAAUUGCAGUGCACUUGUUAGCGCCUCUGGGUUUUAACCAGGCGACCAAGUGUCAAAUCCCCAUUGGUGCGCUUUGAUUUUGCAUUUUCGCAUCUCCAAAGGAUCAGCUAUUGCCAUGUUUUAUCAAUGGCGGAGCCAAUUUAUUUCACAAGCACCGGACCUAGCUUUGUGCUGGUCAAAUCCCAGUGCUUGCAUUUUUUUUGUCUGUUUAGUUUAUCAUCCCUCAAUAACAGCUGGGAUCCAGAUCCCAUGUUGACCUUUCCAUACUGACUAGGGUGAUCACCCGCUAACCCCACUUGUGAUUGAUAGUGGCUAGCACAGCCGGUGUCUAUUUUUCAAUUUAAAAUUGCACAAUUUCACAAAAAUAAUUGAAACUUGCAAAUCCAUAUAAAUUGAACCGUGCAUUAUAUGAGCACAUGCUAUAUAUGAAUUUUGCUUAGUUUUAUUUGUACUUUCACAAUAUCCACCUUUCACACAUGUUAAAAAUGUUUAACAUUGUUCUUUCAGUAAAUUUGCACAAAUGCCAUGUUAAAACGUGUUGUCACAUAACUACUAACCAUAGCUCCGAUUAAUAUAUUAUACAUAUGUAACCUGACAAGAAAAAUAUGUAGAACAACAUGGUGACAUUUAUUUUGCUGUUUAACAACGUUAAAAUUGGAUUAUAGGCAUAACAGUACCGAAUCGUAAUUUGCAUGUGGGGCCUUUUCACAAUUGUUAUUCUUUGUUCUGGCCUCAUUUAAACUAGCGUAGAGUUUCAUGUAGUUUCAUAAUAUCCUGGUGCAUCCAUUUUGACAUGCUUGUGACUGUCAUUUACAUAUAUUUUGCAUUCAUGGCAUAUCAUUUCGUGUUGCUCAUAUCUUUUACACUAUAGCUCCGUUUUAAAUGAUCUAUAUAUGUAAAUCGACUAGAAUGACGUGUGGAAUAACAUGGUCCACUUUAUUUUGUUGUUUAAUAAAUAUAAAACAUGUUUAAGACAGAUCUAGACCGAUUUCGAAAUUAACACAUGGGCUCAUUUCGUAAAUGCUACAUGUUAUUUUUGACCUUAUUUAAAAUGCCUAGAUAGUGUAGUUUAUUUAUACUUCAUCACUUGCCAUGUUUAAUGACAUUUAAUAUUGUCAUGUACCUAAACGGGAGUGAACUAAGUAAUUAAAUAUGGAAUUUUGUGAAUAUGCAACUUGUUGCAUAUUGAGCUUCAUUUAAUGUGUAGGAGUUGAUUGUUGUGCUUUGCCAUGCCUUUCAUAAUUAAACCGGAUAUGCAUAAUAUGUGAUUGUGCUUCAUGUCAUGAAUAUGUGGGUGCAUUAUUGUGUGUUGAUUGUUGUUUCUGGAUUGUUUCUUCUCGAUAAAGUUCCGAACCGCUUCGAGGUGUGAGGAUUCGUUCGACUAUGUUGGUUCGUCUUCUUCACUAAUUUGUUCUUCUUUCAAGCGGGAUCAGAGGCAAGAUGGAUCAUUUCCCUAGAUACCAUUAAUAUCGGUGUCGUCCUAGUUGUCUCGUUUUCUUUCGUCAUGUCUUGCUGCCUACCACUUAAAUAUCAGCCACUCAACAUUUCCAUGAAAAGCCUCUAACCCUUUCACAUACCAGCAGACCCUUGUUUGGCUAAGUUACCGCUUGCUUAGCCUUCUUAUAGCAUUGCUAGUUGCAUGUGAAGUUCCUUACAUGUGAAAUUAUGGGUUCCUUGUUAUAUUACCGUAUAAUUGCUAUUUAAUGUAAUGCACAUAUAUACUGGGUAAAAGGUGGAAGGCUCGGUCCUCUAGCCUCGUGUUUUGUUCCAUCUUUAUCGCCCUAGUUACUUGUGUACCGGUGUAUGUUCCAUAUAUGAGCGCUCAUAACAUGCUUGGGGUUGUUAUGGGGGCCCCCUUGAUUUUUGUUUUGGGAUAAAACUCUUCCGACAAGGCCCAUUGUUGGUACUAUAUUUGCUCAACAUAAUAAUACUGAACACCGUUAGUAACACAUAUGGAGUUAGCUUUUCCCGUGGAUUAAUUCAACAUAAUACAUGGGGGCCAAUGCUAAUGGUGUUGGUCCCAAAUGGGCUGCCUACGGGUCCACCGCAAGGAAACUCAAGAAUUGGUUUUACUCGUAGCUAGUCCCACCCGAUUGUGCCCUGAGAACAAGAUACAAACUCUUAUUGGGAUCAUCGGCAUGUUGGGCGGCCUUGUUGAAUUUGUUUUACCUUUCUCGAACAUCUUGUGGGAGGAAUUCCAAGGAUACUUUAGGCUAUCUCGAGGUUGAGGUUUUCCACUAGGAAGCCGAGGAGAUUACGGGUAUUAUGUGGUCAAGGUUUCCGACGUAGUUUGUGGUAGUUUGUGAUGAACUAGUUGGAGUACCCCUGCUGGGUUAAUUCUUCCUGGGAGUCGUGCCCGUGGUUAUGUGGCAACAUGGAAACUUUGUUUAACAUCCCGUUAUAGAUAACUUGAUGUAAACUUAAUUAAAAUAUGCCAACUGUGUGCGUAACCGUGACUGUCUCUUCUCGUGAGUUCUGUAUCCGGAAGAUGACACUGUGGGGUUAUGUUUGACAUAAGUAGGUGUUCGGGAUCACUUCGAGAUCCUUAUUAGUUCACGAACGAUAUGCGUAGAUCUUUCCCCCUUUUAUUCUUGUACUCAUAAGUUAGCCAUUCAAAUAUAUGCUUAGUUGCUUCUGCAGCCUCACCACUUAACCAUACCUAACCCAUUAAGCUUUGCUAGUCCUAAUACCUUUGAAAAUGAAAUUGUUGAGUCCGUGUGGAUCAUAGAUUACUACAACAACAGUUGCAGCUACAGGUAAAGCGAUACUUUCAGGUGAGCGUGAUGAUUGUGCUAUUUCGAGUUUCUUCUUCUUAUUAUUUUUCUUCUUCAUCGAUCUAUGAUGGCUUUCAGGCCGGCAACCUGGGAUAGUAAGGAUGGACGACGUUUUUUAUAGUUUGAUUUCAUCCAUAGUCAAACCCUCCUUUUUUCUACAUGGUGAUUGAAUAUAUUUUUGUAUUGUGUUGUUCAUGUUGUAGCUUGUGGCGAGUGUAAGCCAAUUCCAUAUACUCAUCUAUUUUGUACAUGUACUUGUAACUAUAUACAUUCUUGCUAAACAACGAGAUGCACUUCUAUACCUAUCGAGGCCCUCGUGUCAAAAUAAGGAUAACAUCGCAUCAUGGGCGUUACAAGUUGGUAUUAGAGCAGUACUGGCCUAGGAGCCCCCUUGAUUGAUCGAACUUGGAUGAGUUGAAUCUAGUUAAAAUGUACUUUGAAUCUAGU
rnacentral:lncRNA from 1 species